UAAAAAUCAUAAUAUGUUUAUGAGCAUUUUAAAUUGUAUUAGGGAGUAUAUCCAGUGGAAUAGAUUUUUUUGUUUUAAUUGAUUUUGUUUUUUAUUAUAAAAUAUAUAAAUAUAUCUUUUUUGUUAAUUUUAUAUUAAUGUUGUAAAUUUACCUAAUUUACCUUUGAAAAUUUACCUAAUUAUUUAAUAAAGAACUUUUAAUUAGAUAGUUAAACUACCAAAGAAAUAUAGAGUAAAUAAAAAAUGAAUAUACUAAUUAAUAAAGUGAUUUGAAUUUUAUCUCUUUUCGAAUUCAACCACAUAAAUAAUAUAAGUCAUACAUGAAAAACAUAAUAAAUUACAUAUAUAUUUUUCUAAAAAUCAUUUCUCUACAUAUUUCGUUAAAAAUGAAAUCUGGCAACUAUGCUGUCUAAAAUCUCCGAAACAGACGAUUUCAAAUCCAGUUGACGCAUGCGCUACAAAUAUUCCCUAGAGUGACCGAUUCUGCAACUUUACCAAAAUCCUUGUUUUCACUUGUACCAAACAUAACCUAAUCGGCGUAACUACAACGCGUCCCUAUUAAAAUGCAACUAAAUAAAAAAGUGGGUCAUUGACUUAUAGUUUCCGGGAAUCCCCACGUUUCUGCUUGACGACGGUGGUGAACAUGCGAAUUAACGCGCGCGAUUUGACGGUAAAGAGUGGGGGGAGCGACGCGUCUCCGUUUAUUUCAGUUUUUCGCCGGUUUUUACGGUAUAUUUUAAUUGAUUUAACAUUGUAAAUGGUCCACGAAGUGUUUUGGGGCCCCUUCGAGUGAUACGUGCGGUUUUUAUUGAAGGUUUUCGUGAAAAAUUGGAAGAAAUUCGAUUGUUAGAUUAUGUGCACCGUGUUAAGGCGUCUGCGGACAUCACAGUAAUGAGCUGCGUUUUGCUCAGAAAUCAAAAAAACCGGUUUCCUGCAGUUUUAUCGAUCGACAGUUACCGAGUGCACUUUUAAGGGAUUCUGAGAAGAGAGGGACGCGUCCGCGGUUUUUACUCGAUUCGUCGGCAAAUUUUACGAAAUUUUUAUUGUGUUGACUUUGUAUUAACUGUGUCCUGUGUCUUCAACUGAUCUGGCUGAUUUUAAGUAAACAGGAGUCUUCAGAAAGAUGUUACACCUUUCUCAGGAUGGAUACCAGAAAAAAAUAC